rnacentral:rRNA from 1 species
AGCAGCCGCGGUAAUUCCAGCUCCAAUAGCGUAUAUUAAAGUUGUUGCAGUUAAAAAGCUCAUAGUUGAAUUUCGGGACCAAUCUGCCGGUCGUGCCUCCGGUACGCACUGGUUUUAUUGGUUUCUCCCUUCUGACGAACCAUGAUGUCAUUAAUUUGGUGUCGUGGGGAAUCAGGACUGUUACUUUGAAAAAUUAGAGUGUUUAUAGCAGGCUCACGCUUGAAUACAUUAGCAUGGAAUAAUGAAAUAGGACGUUUGACCCUAUUUUGUUGGUUUCUAGGAUCGACGUAAUGAUUAAUAGGGAUAGUUGGGGGCAUUAGUAUUCAAUUGUCAGAGGUGAAAUUCUUGGAUUUAUUGAAGACUAACUACUGCGAAAGCAUUUGCCAAGGAUGUUUUCAUUAAUCAAGAACGAAAGUUAGGGGAUCGAAGACGAUCAGAUACCGUCGUAGUCUUAACCAUAAACUAUGCCGACUAGGGAUCGGAUGAUGUUAAUUUUUAAUGACUCAUUCGGCGCCUUAAC